CACGUCGAUAAUCCGCCCUAAAGUCUGGGAUAACCUCGGGAAACUGAGACUAACACCGGAUAAAAGAUUAUGGCUGGAAUGCCUUAUCUUUAAAAAGCAAUGCUUUAGGAUGAGUCGGCGGCGGAUUAGGCAGUUGGCGGGGUAAUGGCCCACCAAACCGAAGAUCCGUAGGGGCCUUGAGAGAGGUAGCCCCGAGAAGGACACUGAGAUACUGGUCCUAGCCCUACGGGGUGCAGCAGGCGCGAAACCUUUACAUUGCACGAAAGUGUGAUAAGGGAAUCCCAAGUGCUUAUGCUUUGCAUAGGCUUUUUUCAAGGUUAGAACCCUUGGAGAAUAAGUGGUGGGUGAGACUGGUGCCAGCCGCCGCGGUAACACCAGCGCCACAAGUGGGGACCACAUUUAUUGGGCCUAAAGCGUUCGUAGCAGGUUUAGUAAAUCUCUUGUGAAAUUGUUGGGCUCAACCUAACAGUGUGCAGGAGAGACUGCUAGACUUGAGACCGGGAGGGGUCAGAGGUAUUUAAGGGGGAGCGGUAAAAUGCUAUAAUCCCUUGAGGACCACCUGUAGCGAAGGCGUCUGACCAGAACGGAUCUGACUGUGAGGGACGAAAGCUAGGGGAGCAAUCCGGAUUAGAUACCCGAGUAGUCCUAGCUGUAAACGCUGCGAGAAAGGUGUUGCAUAUUCUCCGUGAAUAUGCAGUGUCGAAACGAAGGUGUUAAUCUCGCCGCCUGGGAAGUACGGUCGCAAGACUGAAACUUAAAGGAAUUGGCGGGGGAGCACCACAAGGGGUGCGGCGUGCGGUUUAAUCUAACUCAACGCAGAAAAUCUCACUAGAGGCGACGGCAGGAUGAAGGUCUGGCUGAAUACCAUACCCAACGAGCCGAGAGAUAGUGCAUGGCCGCCGUCAGCUCGUGCCGUAAGGUGUCCUGUUAAGUCAGGCAACGAGCGAGACCUGUGCUUAUAAUUGCUAACGACUAAUUCAUUAGGAUCGAGCACAUUAUAAGAACUGCCCUCGAAAGGGGGAGGUAGGUGCAGGCUACGGUAGGUCUGUAUGCUCCGAAUCUUCUAGGCUACACGCGCGCAACAAUGGUACGGACAAUAGGAUGCAACUCCGAAAGGAGAAGCUAAUCCCCUAAACCGUAUCUUAGUCCAGAUUGAGGGCUGUAACUCGCCCUCAUGACGAUGGAAUCCCUAGUAAUCGGGUUUCAAUACGGCCCGGUGAAUAUGUCCCU
rnacentral:rRNA from 1 species